rnacentral:SRP_RNA from 1 species
CGUAGCGUCGAGCAUUGUAACGCAUGCUUGUAACCCGAGUGGGGACAAAUAAGAUGUUGGAACACUGUUUCGGUUUCAGUGUGUCGGGUCCGUCGUGCCUCUAUUCUGGCUCGCCCAUUCCAAGGCGGGAGUUGGACUGUGUGGCCUGGGCGUAGGCUCAAGCCUCACUCUUCCUAAAGCGGAGGGCACUGCGUAAGGCUGGCCUCACAGAGCAACGAUCACCUCCUGCUCUCGUCGGUGGAAGGAUAACGGGUCGGUGCUACUCGGAUCCACCGUGGCACUCUAGACCGUUCCGGU